rnacentral:rRNA from 1 species
AGCGAACGCUGGCGGCAGGCCUAACACAUGCAAGUCGAACGAACCCUUCGGGGUUAGUGGCGGACGGGUGAGUAACACGUGGGAACGUGCCUUUAGGUUCGGAAUAACUCAGGGAAACUUGUGCUAAUACCGAAUGUGCCCUUCGGGGGAAAGAUUUAUCGCCUUUAGAGCGGCCCGCGUCUGAUUAGCUAGUUGGUGAGGUAAUGGCUCACCAAGGCUACGAGCAGUAGCUGGUCUGAGAGGAUGACCAGCCACAUUGGGACUGAGACACGGCCCAAACUCCUACGGGAGGCAGCAGUGGGGAAUCUUGCGCAAUGAGCGAAAGCCUGACGCAGCCAUGCCGCGUGGAUGAUGAAGGUCUUAGGAUUGUAAAAUCCUUUCACCGGUGAAGAUAAUGACUGUAGCCGGAGAAGAAGCCCCGGCUAACUUCGUGCCAGCCGCCGCAGUAAAAC